rnacentral:rRNA from 1 species
CCCCUAGUAACUGCGAGUGAAGCGGGAAAAGCUCAAAUUUAAAAUCUGGCGGUCUUUGGCCGUCCGAGUUGUAGUCUGGAGAAGUGCUUUCCGCGCUGGACCGUGUACAAGUCUCUUGGAACAGAGCGUCAUAGAGGGUGAGAAUCCCGUCUUUGACACGGACUACCAGUGCUUUGUGAUGCGCUCUCAAAGAGUCGAGUUGUUUGGGAAUGCAGCUCAAAAUGGGUGGUAAAUUCCAUCUAAAGCUAAAUAUUGGCGAGAGACCGAUAGCGAACAAGUACCGUGAGGGAAAGAUGAAAAGCACUUUGGAAAGAGAGUUAAACAGUACGUGAAAUUGCUGAAAGGGAAACGCUUGAAGUCAGUCGCGUUGGCCAGGACUCAGCCUUGCUUUUUUGCUUGGUGCAUUUUCUGGUUGACGGGCCAGCAUCGAUUUUGACUGUCGGAAAAAGGCUGGGGGAAUGUGGCACCUUCGGGUGUGUUAUAGCUCUCAGUCACAUACGGCAGUUGGGAUCGAGGACCGCAGCACGCUUUUAUGGCCGGGGUUCGCCCACGUUCGUGCUUAGGAUGCUGGCGUAAUGGCUUUAAACGACCCGUCUUGAAACACGGACCAAGGAGUCUAACAUGCCUGCGAGUGUUUGGGUGGAAAACCCGAGCGCGUAAUGAAAGUGAAAGUUGAGAUCCCUGUUGUGGGGAGCAUCGACGCCCGGACCUGAACUUCGGUGAUGGCUCUGCGGUAGAGCAUGUAUGUUGGGACCCGAAAGAUGGUGAACUAUGCCUGAAUAGGGUGAAGCCAGAGGAAACUCUGGUGGAGGCUCGUAGCGAUUCUGACGUGCAAAUCGAUCGUCAAAUUUGGGUAUAGGGGCGAAAGACUAAUCGAACCAUC